CAGCAUGAUGGUGGGUGCAAAUGAAUGAGAGGGAGACUGCAGCAGGUGAGGAAGUUCUCAUUAAGGAGAACUUAAUGAGAUAAUAAAAGCCUCUGUGAAACCUAGAAGUCCCUAUGCCUUUCCUCUGGUGAAACUUUCCUGGCUGGUUGGAGAUAACCCCGUGCCUGUGCUGAAGCUGAUGCAGCAGAUCUGUUAGUCAUUGCAGACUGACACCGAACUGAGAGCACGGUUAGAAACAGGAAAACAAACUGAACUUGGCACGUUUGGUGAGCAGUCCUGGCAGCUGUGGCUUUUCUUCCUCUUUCAUGGUAAGGCCAGUACCAGAGGUUAUCUGCUGGGGUGCUCAAGGCCUUGCUCUAAUGCAUCCUGCAGUCCAG
rnacentral:lncRNA from 1 species